GUGGGGAAUAUUGGACAAUGGGCGAAAGCCUGAUCCAGCCAUGCCGCGUGAGUGAUGAAGGCCUUAGGGUUGUAAAGCUCUUUUGUCCGGGAAGAUAAUGACUGUACCGGAAGAAUAAGCCCCGGCUAACUUCGUGCCAGCAGCCGCGGUACUACGAAGGGGGCUAGCGUUGCUCGGAAUCACUGGGCGUAAAGGGCGCGUAGGCGGACUUUUAAGUCGGAGGUGAAAGCCCAGGGCUCAACCCUGGAAUUGACUUCGAUACUGGGAGUGUUGAGUUCGGAAGAGGUUGGUGGAACGGCGAUUGUAGAGGGGAAAUUCGUAGAUAUUCGCAAGAACACCGGUGGCGAAGGCGGCCAACUGGUCCGAAACUGACGCUGAGGCGCGAAAGCGUGGGGAGCAAACAGGAUUAGAUACCCUGGUAGUCC
rnacentral:rRNA from 1 species